AACGGUGAGUGUGGAGGUCCGCCAGUGUGGGUGAAGACCCAGGGGGGCUAGGAUGCCGCUGCUGCUGCUGCUCCACUUGUCACCUGGGGACACAUAGUGAGUACUGGGAGUCGGUGUGCUGAGAGGAGGCACGCUGGAAGCAGGCGUACUGGGAGCAUCUUUUGUGUCGUUAUUGGUAGUUUUUUUGGGUGCCAGUUUGUCCAUCUUCUCCUUCCUGUGUAUCUGGUACUCUACAAUCAGUCUACAUGUCAGCAUGAAGAAGAACACCUGCAAUGUACCAGGUCCUUGUGAAACAAUGCAAGUCUACCAGGAACCAGAGGCCAAAGCCUAGCUCCUUCACAAAGGCACAAGGAGGAGAUACUAGAUCACCCUAACCAACAAAGCCCACCAUAAAGGUGGGUGAGCCAAAAUGCACAAUCAGCAAGGUAAACAAAGAACAGAAAAGCAGAUCCACACCCGAAAUGAAUGAACAACGUGGUCGUGAAGUAAGUCAAUUCUCAGAAUUAACAUUGUCAUCUUUAUCUAAUAUUCAAACAAAAAAUCUAUUCUAUUGAACAAAACUGGAAAUUAAACUGUGUAGUAUAUAUAUA